AUCAGUCAUGAGUCCUAAUGUCCUAUCUCUCCAAGUCCGACCGCAACCUUUGGGCUAUACGACACCAUGAGCAAGAACAGGGAUGCCGCCGGCUUCAUCCCCAAUUCGGGCAAGACGACGAUGAACAGUUUGUGUAAUGGGGUAUGGUUCCUAUCCCUCUCUUCUCGUGUUGAGUUGCUGCGUCUGCUUGGCACUUUGCAGUGGUGGUCGACGACGCGACGGGACGAGGCGUUGGUGGUGGCGGUGGUGAUGGUGGUGUGGCUGACAGAAGAGAGUGAGCAUGCAGCGGCCAGACUGGAUCUAAAUAUGGCUGAUUCUGAAGAGAUACAAGACGAUGGAUGGAUGAAUGCCUAGACGCAGCUGUUGUUGCGUGCUCACUUCUCUUUCUGUCAGGUCUCUUCGGAAUAAGGCACUCUUAAAUUUUAUGGCAGCCGCUGCGCGAAUGCACGCCAUGGAUUCUCGCGCCGGGCAAUUUCUCUACGUUUCUUUCCUCGGCGAGCUUCUCGUUGCCACAUCUCUGUGCCUUCCGAUGAUGGAUUAUUAGCAGGGCCUUCAGCCUUGGGGGAAGAGGACGCGUGAUGGAUUAACACCGCUCUUUGCUCGCCUUCCCAGAUGUGUUUGACUUGUCGUCCUUGCAAGUUGCUACCCCCUUCUGGCCUUCUCCCUCUCCUUUAGCCUCUCUCACUCUCUGACUUAUCUACUGUCCUUUUUUUCGCAAAGAUCUCACAGCAAAAAUUGCAUCUUUUUCCCUUUUGUUUUGCUCAUCUUAUGUGGUGCUCUGAGUGUUGAGGUAGGUGGGAGGCAGAUCUGCUUGGUUGCAAGUUGAAAGGGGGCACCUACCGGCGGCGGUGCCCUCAAGAUCUGGAAAUGUUUCUUCUGUGGUGAGUCGAUGCUUCCCCUCGUCCUUAGCAUCUGCUAAAGCGCGUGCAUGCCUCCUCGUACUCGGCCUACCUGUGGUAUUGUGUUUAUAUUGUUAUUUGCCUUGUUUUGGAGUUUCCUCAUGGAUAUAUGGUUCGUCCCUAAUGACGAUUGGGGAUUUCGCAUCUUAUCGCACUUGUACCAGCCAUAUGAGCUAGCUAUGAGUUGUCUUGUGGUUAACUGGGGCUGUUUCGUUCACGCAGUUGUUUGUCUUUGGUGUUCAUCAGGUAGCCGUGCAUGCAUGUUUCUCGUUCUUAAUUUGAGGGAAUCGUUGUCAAUCUACGAGAUAACAUCUAAUUGUCUUCCUAACUCGCUCGUGGCCUGGUUUUUUUCAGUCCUUCAUUAUAUGAUCUCCCAUGUGGGAAAUUGGGAAUAGCACAGUGCAACAUAUGGUCGUUUUAUUGUAUGCAGAAUAGAUAACUUGGUUAACCACUGAUUGGGCAAACCGUUAGGAUUUCACAUUAGCUGCGCAAUAUCACCAAACUUACAAGCUUGUAUUUUUGGUUUCGGUGCUGCAUGCUAUAUCAUUCGUGAUCCAUUAGUUCUGCAUACAUCUCCCUUUCUGUAAGUUUAGAAAACUGCGGUGCUGAUCCUCCUUGCUGUUGCUGCAUGCAUGGCAAAUAGAGUUUUAAUUGAUGUUCAGUGGAUGUUACAGAAAUUUUAGCUAGCUACAAAAGAUAUUUAAUGAAUCUUAACUUGAUCAUGUUAAGUUGUAGUUAUGAACUACACAUAUGGAUCAAUGUUUGGUUUAAAUUUUAAUUGCAUGUCAUAUAUAUUUGGAUACUACCUGACAGUGAACAAGAUGUAUAUUUGUAUGGCACUUAUAUAUGAUAUUUGUUGUUAAUUUUUACGUUUUCUGUUAUUUAUGGUUUUGCAGAUUGUCUUGACAGCAUAUCGAGCAACUUAUUAUGUUGAUAAUGACAAUGUGUGGGGCUGUGGCUCUAUCUUACAUUAUCUGAUAAAAAUUAACCAGCGUUCUUAUUCAUUCAUCUUGCUAGCUCAAGCUUUGGAUCCACAGUAGACUUAAAGAUUGUUUAAUCCUUUGACACAACAAAGGGAUUGGUUCAAGAAGAUACUGGGUGCAUGGCGCCUAUGCUCCUGAAGGUUAUUGACUGCUCACAGAAUCUCAACACCAAUUAAAGAGAUUUUAAUCUCCGUUGAAAUCCAGUUGCUACAUCAUCUAGCUGCUUACUCAUUCUUUAUUUGAAAAUCCGAAUACAAAUUGAAAUAUAGUUAUGUUGUGGACGUGUUUAUCGGGAGGACUUACCGGCGCAGGAAAGGUGCAACCAGGCCAUCGAAAACUCCAAGUGGCUGAAAUGACCUGGCGGCAACACCUUGAACACAAGGAGAUAAGUCAAGGCUUAGAGUUCGUUUGAGUUUGUUUAGCAGAUCGUCAUUGUUUUUUAGUUGGUUGCUUCGUUAGUUGCUGGCACCUGAAACUAUAAAGGUAACCCUAAGUGUCCAGACCUCAAACUCAUCUCCUUGCUACGUUCUCUCCGCUCCUCUUUGAAACCAUGCCACAUCAAUGGGACCUUUCAUCACCAAUGCUACCUGAGUGUUUAUGUCUAAAGUCAGCAUUCUAUUGAAUUCAUUUAGUAUGUUUCUAGCAAUAUGGAUAUAUUCUUCAUACCUAUGGAAAGUGAAAUUUUCUAACCGGGUAGUUCUAUCCUUUUAGCAGGUUUGUGUUUUUAACAUUUUGAUAAUAAACCACGCCAUUUGUACUAUAUGAUCAACAUAUAUAGGCUGCGCCAUCACCAUAAGAGUAUGUGGAUGUACCCCUUUAAACUUUUUGGUAACUAUACAUGCAAUGAAACUACAAAUCAACAGCAAGGAUGUUAUUAUACUUCAAUAGAUGAAAAUAUUGGCUGGUUUGUCCAAAUUAUGCAUUUAACCAUAAACAUUCAUUUGAUAUAAAUAGCUAGCUAUUGCAUAAUUAAUUUCACAAGUCUGUGGAGUACUGGAGUCAUUAUGUUUACUUGAGCCGCUCAACCAAUCUGUUUGUACAUUCAAGGCAAUUGAGUUCAAUUUUAGUUAAUUGGGUAGCCCUUCCUUUUGAUUUUUAAUUAAUUACUGACAAUGGUCUAACUAGACCCUUCCAACUCAGAGAAUCAUGUAUGAAAUAUAAUACACUAAAAAAUUAUUUAGAAACAAACUCGAAAUUAUUCUGAGUCCAAUAUGAACAAUAGUUUUCAGAUUAUAACAUGUACAACGGACAUGAUGAACAACAUGAGGGAAUCUGCGAAACAAUGCAGUGAUAUACAAGGGUGAUUUGAGGUCAUUUAAAGUGUUUUUGAUGGACUGUUGCCUUUGAUAGUAAAUUAAUUACAGGCUAUAGUUUAUUGAAUGGAACAACUUUGAAAUGUCGCUAUGAGAUUUAGCUUAACAAACAACAAUGAUGCUACAAAUAUGCUAAAAUAGUAUUUUUGUUAGUAAUUUAUAUUAGAUUAAUAGGAAUUUAAAUUAUAAGAUGCCAUGCAAAUGAAAUAUUAAUUUAUUGUCUAUUCCUCGCGAAAGCAAUAAACAUGAGCUGUAAAUUAUGAGAUAUCGAAUCAGAGAACAAUGCUGUGGUAUUAAAUAGGAUGGGAGAGCUACAAUGAUCAAGUGACUGAAGGGUUAUGAUCUAAUGUGUCACUUGAGGGUGUGUACAAGUGUGGAAAGAAUUUUGAUAAUGAUAUUUUGAAAGUCGUGUAAAUAAGGUAAAUAGUUAUUAUCUAUACUUGUUAACAUUCUUUAAAGUAAAAUUUCCCACCAAAAUGGCUGGUGAAGUUUUGGAAGUUUUGUUUUUUAAGACCUAUAACACAUCAUGUGAGUGUUUUUACCCCAAAACCACGUUAUGAAGCUUUAGUACUCCCUCAAAUCCAAAGAUAGAUCAUUUUAGCCACAUCACUCUUCCCCAAAUAUAAGUCAGGUCUUCAUGUUUGUGGCUCCUUUUCUUCUCUUGUUCUCGUUAUACCAUUUCUAGAUAAAUGUUGCCAAUUCAAUUAGUGUAUUUAAGAGACAAAUUUAUCAAGUAUGGUGAGCAUUGAAGGGCAACAUGGUCAUUUAAUAUACUAUUACCUUAAUUCUGGAGCAUAGGUUUGACAUGAUGACGCAUAUUUGGAAUGAAAGGUAGUUUUAGUUUCUCAGUAUGUCUUAUUUGAAUUACAUUUCACAGUGAUAGAAAUUCCUAAUUAAACAAAAUCAAAUAGUAUGGUGACACAAAUAAAGUAUGUAGAACCUCAAGGGUUCGGUUAUACAUGUACAUAUACUUAGAGGGGCUUGAAUUAUUAUUAUUUUUUGGAAGGGGGUGUUAAUUGUAUGAAUUGAAAUUGUUUUAGAGUAAUGUGCACAGAUUAAAACCUCACGUAUUUUUCCUGCUAAAGUUGUUGUAUUUGCACAUUGUAGUGGAAGAGAUUAAAACUUAUAUAAGCUCAUAUGAUUGCAGCCUAAUUCUAAGAGUACGGGCCAAUUUGGUUUACAUGAGCCACUCACAUGCCUAUCACCUAUAUGCACGGGGCGCCUGAAGAGAGCAGCUCUGACUAUUAAUCUCUGUCCGUUCAUAUUUUGUUUAGUUUGACUGAUUGUUCAAUCAAGCUGAUUCAAUCAUUUUUUUUAUUUUAUCUUUUGAGACAGGCUAAUAUAGAACUCUGUGCAUAUGAUACCUGUUUGACCGAUUUCUAGAUAACUAACAGACUUAGAAGCUCUGACAAUUAAUUGAUCUCUGCUCAUUCAGAAUUCUUUUAGUAUGCCUUGAUUAUUUAAUCAAGCUGAUUCAAUCAUUUAUUUUUGUGUUCAGUAUACUGAUUCUGUGAGUGGUAGAUGAUCUUGCAAAAUAUAUCUAAUUAAUAAUUUCUUUUGAGAUAGGCUACUAUAAAACUAUAUGUAUAUGAUACAUGCAUGACCAAUUUCUAGAAGGGGCAUUUGCAAAUACCUCCUUGAUUUUUUAUUUUUUGCAAGAAUGUCACUCGAAUGAUAGUUUUAAUACUAUUUUUGUAAUUUUCGAGUGACAAGCUUGCAAUAACACCAGGAGUAGUGGUUUCUUUGCAAUUGUCCCUUUCUAGAACUAGCAGACCUGAUGGAACGUCUUUCGGUAGCGAAUGGCUAUUAAUUAGCCUUCUGCUAGACAUAUAAAUAUUAUUGGAAAUUUAAAUUAUUGUUGUUAUUGUUAAAAAAACCUUGAUCUUAUUAGUGCAAUUAAUCACUAGUACACUAAAGAAGUCAAUUUAUGCCGCAUUCUCUGCUGUUACUUGAUCGUAUAUGGCCUGAUCAUGCUGAUGCCUGUUCAGGUUAGUUGGCAGCCUUAAUAAAUUCUAUCUCAGGCUAGUUGGCAGCCUUAGAUAGAUUCUAUCUUUUUUAGGACGAUAAGUUCUGCCAAAUGAAUUAUGUUGUGUCGUGAUUCAUUUGAUUACUUGAACAUGUUGCUUUUUAAUUGCAUCUUGAGUUAUUCCAUCAGCAGCGUCCAUAAUGAAUUUGUGGUUAAGGUAGUACUUGAAAUCUACGAAAUGUUUGGGGUAAUAGGGAGUAUUAGGCAUUCAUCAUUUAGUGCAUCAGAGGUGCCCUAUAAGCAAUCUCUCAUCUUAUAUCAAUUGGUCAGGUGCAUUCUUUCACCUGCUUGAAGUUGCGGAUGCAGUAUUUCCAAGUUUCCGGCAUUAUUUCAUGAAGUAUGACCUCAGCGAACUAGAUAUUACUGCAGAGUUCAGUGCAGCUGUGCAUGCAACCCAGUUAUCUGUCCUGGCAUACAAUAUGAGAGCUAUUCCAUUUCUGUAAGGCUAUUACUCGCCUUGCUUCUCAAUUUUCGUCUUCUCUAUUGCAUGCCUAGCUCGGUGUGCUUUGUUUUGAAAGUUAAUCACAGAAAUGAGGAAAAUAAAAAUUAUAUUAUUUUAUCUGAGAGAAGCUUUCCACUGAUCUAAGUAUGAGCCGAGGCUAGGUUUGUUCCCAGUGAAGUGGUGAUGAAUCUAUACUGAGACUUGUCGUGAACUGAUGAUUUAGGUUUGAAUCCACGCUAUCUUGUUCUCAGGAGUUUCAUUUCCGUUUUUGGGAAUUCUGGCUACCCACUAGGACGUUGGUAACUGAUUGGUUUCAGUUUCUCUUGUGGAUAAGCCAAUUUCUUUUCCUUUGACAAGUUCAGCUGUGUCCUCAACUUGAUAUAGUAGCACUGGCCUCUAAAUUCUUUUGAGAUAGUGCACUCAGAUACUCUAGCUAGAACUGACCGGUUUUAAUUUUGAAUCCAGAAAUCUGCCGGUAUUUCUGGUUACUGUCUUUACAACCCUAGUACUGGUGAUCACCUUGAUUAUCUUUGUUGCAGAUUCUGCAGGUAAUAUACUUGUAGUCAAGGUGGUUUCUCUGUCUCAUACAAUUGCCAGGUAUAUGGCAUACAAGUAAAACUAGCUAUGUAUCAAUUACAUAUUGAAAACAGUCACUUGUGUUUUUUGCUUGUUGCAAAUAUCUUUUGUUAUUAAACAAAAUUGACAGAAGAACCUGUGACAUAAUUUUUGUCCUUGCUAACAUCAUACUAUACAAUUCCCAAGUCAGAUCAUUCCAGUAUGCAGGUACUCAAUUUUCAUUGUGUCAUCUAAUAGUGAAACGGUCAAGCAAAAGUUCCUAGUAAUGUCCUAUAACCGAAUCAGUUUGUGCUUGUAUAGCUUUGGGUCCAACCAAGCAAUUGCUCUUUGAAGAACUGAUGUAAAGCGGGGCAUCCCCCCCCCCACCCCCAAGAACGCGUGAAGCUUGCGUGUCUUGAUAGAAGCAAGAAAACAGAGAAGCACACCGCAUGUUGUCACUGAUAUAGUCGCACGUGAGUCUUCAGACAACGGGUUGAGCUUUCUCUACAGGGGCGAUUUCUUUGCAACGCGAGCUUGCUCUGUUUGAAUACCUAGAGAUGGCCGACCGAAGUUGGAUGUACGUAGAGAAUCGUACUUGUGAUGAGUUCCUUUAAUGAGAGGUUGCGAAAUGAGUGUCUGGUGGAGAUGUACAUGCCGGAUGAUCCAUUGGUGGCCUUCAACCUUAGAAGUUCAAGCACCGAAUACAACAUCGUAAACUACUUAUCACAAGCCUUCGAUUCCUCAUACAAAAGAUCCUUCGAUGACUCCUGUAAUAUCUCAAAAUUAUCUAAAUCUCUCAUGUCCCUUAAAACACGCGGUUCUGCAUGGCAUAACAUUUCCUCCAGAUCAAAAUCAAUAUCAUCAUUCAUCAUAACACCAAUGUCGCCUUUGACUACCUCAUCAUCACCAUCCCCUUGAUCAGCAACGAUGUCGUCGUUUGGUUCGCUUGCACGUUGUUCACCGUGAUUGGAUCAACAUGUGUAAUCCUCGACAAAACCUCUCAAGAUCAAGUGUGAUUUGAUUAUGCUUGAUUAGUCCUAUAAUUUCUGGUUCUUGCAGUCAUAAUAUAGAUAAUAUAUUUCCUUUGUCUUCUUAGUCAAAGCGUUUG